rnacentral:rRNA from 1 species
GUUCGGAUUGUAGUCUGNAACCCGACUACAUGAAGCUGGAAUCGCUAGUAAUCGCGAAUCAGAAUGUCGCGGUGAAUACGUUCCCGGGUCUUGUACACACCGCCCGUCACACCAUGGGAGUCGGAAAUGCCCGAAGUCAGUGACCCAACCGUAAGGAGGGAGCUGCCGAAGGUGGAGCCGGUAACUGGGGUGAAGUCGUAACAAGGUAUC